AACUUUCAACAACGGAUCUCUUGGUUCUGGCAUCGAUGAAGAACGCAGCGAAAUGCGAUAAGUAAUGUGAAUUGCAGAAUUCAGUGAAUCAUCGAAUCUUUGAACGCAGAUUGCGCCCUGUGGUAUUCCGCAGGGCAUGCCUGUUCGAGCGUCAUUAU
rnacentral:rRNA from 1 species